rnacentral:rRNA from 1 species
CACGUAGGGCGCGAGCGUUGUCCGGAAUUAUUGGGCGUAAAGAGCUCGUAGGCGGUCUGUCGCGUCGAAUGUGAAAACCCGGGGCUCAACUCCGGGCGUGCAUUCGAUACGGGCAGGCUAGAGUUCGGUAGGGGAGGCUGGAAUUCCUGGUGUAGCGGUGAAAUGCGCAGAUAUCAGGAGGAACACCGGUGGCGAAGGCGGGACUCUGGGCCGAUACUGACGCUGAGGAGCGAAAGCGUGGGGAGCGAACAGG